UGUAGGAGUGAGCCUGCUCGCGAUGGCGUCAUAUCAGUCGACAUCUCAGUCACUGAAAGACCGCAAUCGCGAGCAGGCUCACUCCUACA
rnacentral:misc_RNA from 1 species